AAUUGACUUAGGCACAGGAACUUGCUAAUCUCUUUUGUCACAUUCGGAUUGCUCCUGCUGCCUCACACACACUAACCUAACCAUCUUGGGGUGGACUCCCUGCCAGCCCAACUGUUGUAUUUUCAGUUCUUCCAGUGUGAAUCAGUUAAUAUUCUCGGGAACGAGGGAGAGGUUGAUCCUAUGAGGAAAUCAACCACAGUGAAAAGGCUUGGGCCGCUUUUGUUUUCACCUCCUUUUGUUGAACAAAUUUGAUUUCCGGAGUCAGUCAUUUUACUGUCAAGACAUUUCUUCGGCAUUCUGCAACAGGGAUAUUUGCAUUUCAACAAAGUACCAAACCUCAAGAGAAAGGGCUGCUCCAAGGAUGGAAGAUAUAUUUGGUAGGGAGAGGACUUUUUAUCACCCUUGAUUCACUCCAUGUAGGCAGGGACCUUCUGUUUCCAACGUGGCUAGAUCCAUCAGAAACUGAAGCCGUGGAGAACGCUCUCGGGGCCUUUGCCACUUCUUGGAGUAGAAGCCGACAGAGAGCUGUUUGGAAACUUCUCCUUCACACACCAGUUGAAGACUAGGCUUU
rnacentral:sRNA from 1 species